GACGUAGGGCGCGAGCGUUGUCCGGAUUUAUUGGGCGUAAAGAGCUCGUAGGCGGUUUGUCGCGUCUGCUGUGAAAUCCCGAGGCUCAACCUCGGGCUUGCAGUGGGUACGGGCAGACUAGAGUGCGGUAGGGGAGACUGGAAUUCCUGGUGUAGCGGUGGAAUGCGCAGAUAUCAGGAGGAACACCGAUGGCGAAGGCAGGUCUCUGGGCCGCAACUGACGCUGGAGGAGCGGAAAAGCAUGGGGAGCGAACAGG
rnacentral:rRNA from 1 species